UACGGGGGGGGGCAAGCGUUGUUCGGAAUUACUGGGCGUAAAGGGUUCGUAGGUGGCCCGCUAAGUCAGACGUGAAAUCCCUCAGCUCAACUGGGGAACUGCGUCUGAGACUGGCGGGCUUGAGUGCAGGAGAGGAACGCGGAAUUCCAGGUGUAGCGGUGAAAUGCGUAGAUAUCUGGAGGAACACCGGUGGCGAAGGCGGCGUUCUGGACUGUUACUGACACUGAGGAACGAAAGCCAGGGGAGCAAACGGG
rnacentral:rRNA from 1 species